UACGUAGGGUGCGAGCGUUGUCCGGAAUUAUUGGGCGUAAAGGGCUCGUAGGCGGCCAACUAAGUCAGACGUGAAAUCCCUCGGCUUAACCGGGGAACUGCGUCUGAUACUGGAUGGCUUGAGUUUGGGAGAGGGAUGCGGAAUUCCAGGUGUAGCGGUGAAAUGCGUAGAUAUCUGGAGGAACACCGGUGGCGAAGGCGGCAUCCUGGACCAACACUGACGCUGAUGAGCGAAAGCCAGGGGAGCAAACGGG
rnacentral:rRNA from 1 species